GCGGUCCCAUCUCGUUGAAACACCGGUUCUCGUGGCAUCACCGAAGUUAAGCAACAUCGUGUUUGGUCUGUACCUAGAUGCGUGACCCCUUGGGAUACCAAGUAUAGU